GUUUGUUUGUUUGUUUGUUUUGUUUGUUUUUUUUUGGAGAGGUUGAAGGCUGUGAAUUUCUACUAUGAUGACCAGAAGAAAGCAACUGAACAUGAGGGACACCUACAGACUUACAGACUGUGGAAUAUUAAAGAUAAAACAACCCACUUCUGCCCAAUCAGCUUUGUUGAUACAGGACAUGAAGAAACAAAAGGAUGCUGCAGACACAAGGCAAUGAAAGCAAACAAGUGAACAAAGAACAGCUCCAGUUAGACCUAAGUGAGGGUUAAAAGGUAGCUUGGGUGCAGAUAUGGAAAUUUACCAUCAUUAUUAAAAGCCUAAGGUUUGUCUUUGUAUUUUGUUGCAACUUCAUUUCAAUAAGUAUAUUUUAAAUAAAUAGUCUGUAUUUCGUUCUCAGUCAAAUUCAGAUGGAUCAACCACACAGCCAGACAGCUCACAUGCUCUCAGUACUUGGGUACUCCACCUUGUUUGAAGUGCCCAGUUCUCCCAUACUUUGUCUCAGGGACACAGUUCAAACCACAUGGCAAAAUCUAAGAACAGGUGACUCAGAGGAUGAGAGGAGUGACCAAUGACAGCCACAAAAGUUUUCUGGUAAGAGGAAAAAACUAUAUUGAGCCCACCUGAAUGCACAGGUUUUGAGGCAGUUUAUGACACUGACUUAUAUCUAGCAGAGUGAGACUGUCACAUUUACAGCCAAGCCAAGAAAUUGCCUGGUGCCACUAUCCAACACCUAAUGUCUAAUCCUCUACUUGACAUACCUGGAUCUUGCUAUGGGGUGCAUCUUGGCUAUGAUCCUAAGUGUUAUGGCAGGAGCAUGGAUAUGAGACCCAGCCACAGCACAGCCCUGUGACCGUGGCUCAGCAAAGCGCCAGGGACAGUGCAAUCAUAGUGUGAAUCUGCACAUCUCUCCCAUGAAGUGUCUUGGAGUCAUGAUAUUACAAAUAGUUAAGCCUGAAUAUAUCAGGCCCUUUGCAAAAGCAAGAUGGUUUUGGAUACCGAAGGUGUAUUUGCUUUUCUUUCACAUUACAACCUCCCUUUUACUUUUAAAAUAUUUUACAUUUCCUCACAUAGUCCAAUUCAACAUACUAUUUGCUACCACUGACCUACUGAGUGCUGCUAAAUACACCAUUCAAUUAUUGGAAAAGAUAUGAUGGACUACAUUUUUGUGCCAUUUGAACAUUAUAAUAGAGUUAAUAGAUUUGUAGAUCAUUCACAAUAGCAUGUUUUGCUGGGCUUUUGUGUAACAGAUUGACAAGUAUUGUGCAACAGACCAUAGAAAUGAACUGUCCUGUCACAAGUUACGUCCAUACAUGGCUGAAUAAAAGCUGUCAUUCCCCUAUUUCCAUACAUUAAAUGCUAAGGCUAAUGAGCUUUUAUUAGGAAAAAUCCUGUUUCAACUGGACUGACAAAGAAAGCUUUAAACAAAUUUUGUCCACAUGAUUUUCAAGGAAAAAGAAGUCAGACAGGAUCUACCAUUAAGCAUCUUUUUAUUGUAGUCUUUAAUGUACAUGCAGAAUUUUUAAAAAAGGUGUCAGUUAUAUCUGUAAGCUUAUAACAGUAAUGUAAAUGUUUGGAUCAGCAAUGUAUUUGGAUUAGGGACUAAGAAACCUAAGUGAACAGACAUCUUUCAGGAUAUACAGUUUACAUGGUAAAUCAAGAAGGUUUUCUUUGGAGUGAUUUUCCUCAUAAAAAGAUAAAAUAUUUCUUGUUUACAAUCUUGGUUGUUUUUAAUACUGAAAAAAAUCUAUAGUAGUACACUCUUCAUUAUGUACAUAGAAAAACAUAAAACUAUAUCCAUACCAGUGUCUGUUUUAAAUGCAAAUAGUAGUUAAUAGCUUUGUAAAUUUUUGUGCAUUCUCU